GCGGACUGGUUCAGGUGGCGAGAACGCGACCUUGCCAAGGUCGAGGUGACCGGUUCGAUCCCGGUUGUCCGCUCCA
rnacentral:tRNA from 1 species